rnacentral:tRNA from 1 species
AGCCUCGUAGUUCAGUUGCCUAGAGCAAUGGCUGUGCUAAAGCCUUCCCCUUGUAAGUGUGGGUUCGAAUCCCACCGAGGCUG